rnacentral:lncRNA from 1 species
CAGGUGGAGAGACUUACCUGGUCAGAUUAUCUGGGAAUUUCAGUCCAGCCUUGUUACCCGUUUGAGUGAACACUACAGGAGGUUCAAAAGCUUUCACACAGAAUGAGUUUAUCA